UCAGCUCUGAUGCAGAGUGACAUGGACCGUAGGACCUGUCAUCACUCAUGAAGUCAGUUCUGUUUCAAUGUUAAUAAGUCCUUAAUCAAGUCAUUUGUUUCCUCCAGGAUGUCACAUUUAGCAGUGAAUUGUCACAUGCUUGAAAACUGGAACCAUAGGAGAACUAUUUAAUGCUAAGUGGUAUCUGCAUCAUAUCUGAAGCUGGAACAUGCCAGGAAAACAUCCUUUACAUUCUGCAACUGAUAUUUCUGAGCUUUCAGGAUCAAUCAUGGCUUGGCUGGGUAAUUCUGGAGGGCUGCCCUGCCACAGAAGUGGGUCAGACCAGUUCCAGGAGCUGUGCAGUGCUUGGAUGGGGAUCCACCCAGCAACACCACCACAGUAAUGCCAGAUUGGGAAAUUUGCCCUACAGGAGUUUGUCUUGAUUAAAGGCUUCAGUCUGUCUUUGCAACACAAACACAGGAGCCCCCAUGCUGCUCUCUGAAUUUACAGCGUAUUUUCUUUUUACUCAAGCAUAUUGAAGCAGAACAGAAGAGAGGAUCAAAGGUGUAACUCUUGUGAUGACUGACAUUAUUAUGAAGCAUUUUCACUUUGAAAAAUGUGAUGGGCCAGAUGAUCCCUCCUUUGAAGGUUCUCCUUCAAAGGAAUGCUUUCAUCGCUGUUCUCCCAAACAAGGUAUUUCUUGUAACUUUAAAAGGAGAGAGUCCAACUCCAGGGCAAGUCAGUUCAAGGGCUGGGAAUGCCAGAGGCAGGAAGGACUGAAGAGCAGGUUCACCUCAGCAGGAACACCACAGCUUUACCCUCUCCAAGCAGAGCAGUUGUGUACUCCAAGUGAAGGACCAUGUGAACCUCUGGAGAAUUUUAACAUAGGUGCACUGAGCAGCCACAAGUGUUCAGAGCUUUCAAGCUGAAGUCACAGCUGAACAGCAGUUUGAAAAUCCCAACUUGAGAGACUACUUAGGAGGAGGAAAAGUUUCCACUUCUAAGUCUUUCCAAAGCCAGACUUUGUUGUAAGAGAUGGAAAAUCUGGGACUGAAAUCAUGUCAAUGAGUACCUGGGUCCUGCUGCUGCCCCCUCCCUUCCCUGUGCCCUGGUGCACCCUGGAGAGAGCAGAGAGGGGCACGUGCUGGUUCCAGUGUGAGAAUCAUGAAGCCUGGAUUAUUCACACAAAUUCUGGGGCAGUCUUCUGGCUUUUAAAUACUUCCUCGAAUGACUUGGUGAAAAAUGAGGAGCCAAGCAGGGUGCUGUUAGAAGCAAUGAGCCUUGUGAAAGCACUCAGAUGCCAUCCUGAUAACAGCCCGAGAAAAGCUCACAAGAAAAUCAGCAAUUGUGUCUUCCAAGCAGAUAUAAGUCGUGCACGUGCAAAAGGAUACCUGUGCCUAAAAACAAACAAAAUCUGAAUUCCAAAAUGGAUGUUGUUCAAUGAAAUGUGCAGGAUCUUAAAUCUUGGCUCUGCUGAAGAGAUGCUUCUUGGUGUCUGCAACAGGAUCCUGGAGUAUCUUCUCAGUGGAAAGGAACACGGAGUUCCCAAUUCCCUCACAUGGUGUCUGAUGCAAGUAAAGGAGUUUGCAGAUCUGAAGAUCUUUUUGAGGCACAGAGCCACUGCCUGCCAGCUACAGCCACAGCUGGUGGGGAAAUGAGGGCACAGAAAACAGGAGAUUUUUUCCUAAGUGGAUCUGGAUGCACAGCCCAUCCCUUUCAGAACCUCAGGGCCAUGGGACAGUGGCUGUGACAUCUCCAGUCUGCCCUGGCUGCUCAGACACCAACAUCAGCCCAAAGGGUCUCUCGAGGAAACGGGACAAGGAAACUGGUUUUACUGUUGUGAUGUUCCUGUGGUGCUGUUCUCCCUCUGGGCAGUGAUGCACAGCAGGGACUUAUCCAGAUGAUCUGAGGAGGAGCCACCUCACCAGUGUAAGACUGUAAGAGCUUCUUCACCCUGUUUUGGUCCAAGUUCCUGAGCUGAUAUCUCUGCACAACGUGUUGCUCAUCAAACACCCCAACUGUCCUCAGUAACAUUGCUGCUGUCAGCCAGCCAGUAACCUCUGCUCUGGCCAUCAAACAUCACCACUAAAAGUUCAAGACAGAUCUCCCCUCUAGUGUCACACAGAUCUGGCCCUUCCUUUCCUGGAGCCUGUCACACAGUGAUGGGACCCGACUGCCUCCUGGGCACCACACGGUUCCCUGCAUUUCAGAAUCUCAGCUGGAUCCUGGAUAGCUGGACACAACUGCUUCCCUGCCCUGAAACUGGAGCAAGAAGAGCCAGGACACCACCCCCAUGCCCUGCUUGUCCUGGCAGAGGGAGAGGAUGCUCUUUGCCUGAACAUUCCCUUCAGUGUGCAGCAGGUCUAAAGAUGUGACAACCACUUUGGUAUGUCCUCUGCCAUUCUGUGUGACAUAGCACACUUGGGAAUUUGCAGGCCUGAAGAUUUGCCCCUUACAAGAUUCCUGCAGGAAGCACACAGAAGAACAAAACUUUGGAUUAUGCCUGUGAUGGGAAAAGCUGCAGUGAUGACUGACUGGAAAGGCUGAUCCUUCUCACACCAAAUACCACUGCCUUGCCACCAGAUGGAGGCAACACGUUCAGCUGCAAACCCCAAAGCAGGACCCAGCAGGUCCUGCGGCGACAGGAGCGGCUCUGCCCGGCCCCUCUGGAGCCUCAGCCUGGGACUGAACCCCCAACUUCAGCUUCUCCACUUCAGACUCCUGGAAAGAUGGGAAGCCCUUGAGCCCUUGAAGGCUGUGAGCCACUUGACCACUGCUCUUCACUGGAUAAACCACUCCUGCUUGUUUAUCUUUCCUGCUUUUUCAUGCUCUGGACUAUCAAUAAGAAUUACUCAAAUAAUUCGAAGCUCAUCCCUGAGAGAAAAGCUGUAGCUGAAAGCCCAGGGCUGGGAUCACCCACUGGCUCCAGGAGAGCAGGUAUUGAUGGAGGCACUGGGGAAGUGUCAACUGGAUGAGGAGAACGAGGAGUCCUUUGGAAGAUUGGAAUAUUUUCCCAUUUGCUCCAGUCCUCUCUGCCUGGCAGUGGUGGCUGCCCCUGAGCCCGCCCUGGGAACGCUCUCCCCACACUCAGUGUACAUUGGCAGCCACUCUGCUUCCCACCCUGAGAACAUCCCACUCUGCUGCAGCACGACUGUGGGAGUUUGGCUUUGUUUGUUUUCCUUCCCCCCCAGGAGGAGGUUGUUCCCGAAAAUGCUCCCAGUGAUUCUCACCUCAGGUACCUCCCGUGGGUUCCCAGGCUGUGGUCUGGGCAGUGGGAAUAGCACACGGAGUCAUUCCUGCUGGUGCCCACAAUGAAACAGUAGAAAAUCAUGCAACAAUUGGCAUCUCAGUGGAGGAGGAAGGCACAGUGUUACCCUUUCUUUAUCAACCCAAGUCCUGGAGCUCAGCUCUGGCACCUCUGUACUGCAGAUAAAUCAUCACUGGGGCUUUCCCCGUCUUGUUUGUGCACAGUUAUUUACUCCACCCUUUUUUAAUUCCACUUUGGGCCUGAUCCUGCAAGCACCAGCUGACAGGAUUGUGCAGUCAGUUCUUCAGUGUCCAGAAGUGCAUGAUGUGCUCCGUGGCAGAGCAGCCUCUGCCUCCAGCCCCAGCUGAGCUCUGGUUUCCCCAGGCAGAGCUCUCAGCUCUGUGCAGUGUGUGAGGGGUGGUCUGGGAGGGUCCCCUGGGUAACUUGGCUUGCACAUUAAGUGGAAACUUUCAUUAUUUACCAACUGGUCAAAAUGACUUUGCUAUUGACAUAGGCUUCAUUAUGUCAGCCAUUCCAUCUUUGAAAACAUGGGCAUAACAAAGACAGAGCGGUGGCAGGGAGGGGGAAAUUCCAUUUCUUCCUAAAUUGAGUGGAAACAUCUUCAGGAAAAUUAAAGAAAAACCCGAGAGAAAGAGAAGAGCAAAAGAAUUAACUGUAGCCAAAGCCACUUUCCUUUUUCUUUUUCAAUCUCCCUUCCAACAUGCUCCUGGUAAAAUCAUUACAAAGGCCGUUUAUUUUUAAAAUUGAAAGAUUGGGGAGAGUCAUAAUGAGAUAUUAUGUGUAAAAGUUGCACAUAAAUUUCCUUCUGUCAUAUUUUGGGCUCUCCUAACGCAUCCCCUUGGCAGGCCUGAGGGAAGCUGAUCACUUUAGUAUAGAUUGUGUGUGCUUCAAUAAUAUUGCCCAAGGACAGAGCUACUGGGUGGCUGAGUUGGCUACAUACUGAUUUAAAAAUUAGCUGGGCUUUUAUUUGCCACACUAAAUUAUUGCUCUCCAAAAAAAAAAAAAAAAAAAAAAGGAAAAAUGAAAAA